CCCAAAACCGAUUGGGAAGGAAUAAAAGAUAAUGCCAGAAUCGUCGGGUCUGACUGGAACUGUCCUUUCCAGAGGAACGAAGUGCACAAGACUAGAUAGCCAACUGGAAUAACCGGAUUUGGACGUCGCCGUGUGUGGAGUUGGGACGAGUUUGCAGGGCCGUGGAAAUCGUUAAUGUAAAAAUUGGGCAACUGGCAGAUUUUUCCGUUUGAAUAGUCGGUAGGGUAGAAGAGCGAGGGAGCCGGCAUGGCGGACGGAUCGUUGAGUCUCCAUCGGAAUAUGAAGAGGAUCUGCAUGGUCCUGGAUCUAUAGGAAUAUACAGCAACCAUUCCCCAUUAACGCAUUAUCUGAUUGUUUCUUCACUUGUGUAAUUUUGUGCUCAACUGUGACCAAAUUAAGGAAAUCAAACCAGCAGUGGGUUCAUUUGGGGGCCACAGGGCCAGAUUCAUGACUAUUUAGUCGAAGACGUGUCUCCAAGGCCUAUUAUCAACUGAAGGAAAACGAGGAACCAAAGGAAGAAAGGAUGCUUUGAACGACUAUUGUGGGACGAGAAAGGGUAGAGUGAUAGGUCAAAAUAACGACUGUGAAGGCUCGUGGAGAGGAGUUGAUAAAAAAAAUCAUAUUGUAAAUAAUCUAACAUUCAGAUUAAGGAACUGUCAUUCUUUGAAUGCAAAGGUUUAGAAAGAAAUCUACCAAGGCACCAAAGUUACAGUCACGUAGCAUACAGUAUUUGAUUCGAGGAUUGGAUCAUGUCGGGGCGGCCCAGAACCACCUCCUUCGCGGAGAGCUGCAAACCAGUGCCGCAGCCCUCGGCUUUUGGCUCUAUGAAAGUCAGCAGGGACAAGGAUGGCAGUAAGGUGACAACGGUGAUGGCCACCCCAGGCCAAGGGCCCGACAGGCCCCAAGAGGUCAGCUAUACAGACACCAAGGUGAUUGGGAACGGCUCCUUCGGAGUGGUCUACCAGGCCAAGCUGUGUGACUCUGGAGAGCUGCUGGCCAUCAAGAAGGUUCUGCAGGACAAGAGGUUUAAGAACCGCGAGCUGCAGAUCAUGAGGAAACUGGACCACUGCAACAUUGUACGCCUGCGCUACUUCUUCUACUCCAGCGGAGACAAGAAGGAUGAGGUGUAUCUAAACCUGGUUCUGGACUAUGUUCCCGAGACAGUCUACAGAGUUGCCAGACACUACAGCCGAGCCAAACAGACUCUGCCCAUAGUCUAUGUCAAGUUAUAUAUGUACCAGUUGUUCAGGAGUCUGGCCUACAUCCACUCAUUUGGGAUCUGCCAUCGGGAUAUCAAGCCUCAGAACCUGCUGCUGGACCCCGAGACGGCUGUUCUCAAACUCUGUGACUUCGGCAGUGCUAAGCAGCUGGUACGUGGAGAGCCCAACGUGUCCUAUAUCUGCUCUCGCUACUACAGAGCCCCCGAGCUCAUCUUUGGUGCCACCGACUACACCUCCAGCAUAGAUGUGUGGUCAGCUGGAUGUGUGCUAGCAGAGCUGUUGCUAGGGCAACCAAUCUUCCCUGGCGACAGUGGAGUUGAUCAGCUGGUAGAGAUCAUCAAGGUUCUGGGGACACCUACACGGGAGCAGAUCCGAGAGAUGAACCCCAACUACACUGAGUUCAAAUUCCCCCAGAUUAAGGCACACCCAUGGACUAAGGUGAGUCAACAGGUGUUCCGGCCCCGCACGCCCCCGGAGGCCAUUGCCCUGUGCUCUCGGCUGCUGGAGUACACGCCCACCUCGCGCCUCACCCCCCUGGAGGCGUGUGCACACUCCUUCUUCGAUGAGCUGAGGGACCUCAAUGUCAAACUGCCCAACGGGCGAGAAAAACCCUCUCUCUUCAACUUCACCACCCAGGGUACAGCACCUUGUCAAUACACUCUCUGCCUGUCUGUUUUAUCUGCGAGCUGUCCAGUAAUCCCUCGCUGGCCAACAUCCUAAUCCCCGCCCACGCCCGCUCUCAGGUCGCCACCUCCACCCCAACCAACGCCAACGCCACCGCCACCACAGAUGGUAACAGCACAGAUCGCGGCCCCAGCACCACUACCGCCUCAGCCUCCAACUCCACCUCCUGAACCCUCCCUCUCUGACCCCCCCCCCCCCCCCCCCCCCCCCCCACAUCGCCCCAAUCAGGGGUGCACCUGGGUGCCAGCUGUAAGAAUGAUGACAUGGCAGGGUUUAAAACAGAUGACCACAACAACACAACUAACUGAGCCCUCCACGUCACCCAUUUAAGUGUUUGAUUUCUGCAACCUAUUCCACUGAGGACAUCUUUAUGGUCCGUUAGAGGGAGGGGGUGGUGGGGGCAGGGGGAGGCUGAUGAAAUAUAAGAGUAUUCAUAUAUAAACGUACCAUAUAUACACAAUACUAGCCUGCUAAUGUUUCCAAGAGGACAAUCUAUGUAUCAAAGUAAUUAUCUGUCCCCUCACCCUCCUACUCUUCCUUGUCCACAAUGAAGCCCCCCCCCCACAUUAAGGAUCAGUCCCUCCCUCUCGCCCUCUCUCUACACCACACCCCUUCAUAUCCUCAUCACUUCCCCUCUGACACCCCCUGGUUGGGAUGGCCACCCAGGCUCCUCCUCCUGUAGUGCAUGGCCUGAGUAUAGUUAGGAGCACCCAGAGUGACCUUUCACCCCUGCAUUGACAUCCACACUUUUGCUAAUUAGGCAUGAGGCACACAUACACACACAUACAUUCUUACCAACACACGCCGAUGCAUGAAGGUCCUGAUAUAUGUGGACAGUCCAAUCAGAAGGGAGGUUUUGGAUGUUGUCAGAGGUUUGCUUGGGGUUGUUUUUAAAUGGUUAGCGAACAGUUUUAUUCUGUUUUUAUUUUAUAUCCCCUUGGCUUAGGGUGGGCGGGAUCAUGUCAGAUGUCUAUGGUUCUGUGUGCUUGUAUUACAUUUACACUGAGUGUACAAAACAUUAGGAAUACCCCCGUUCUACAGGGAUGCUGGCCCAUGAUGACUCCAAUGCUUCCCACAGUUGUGUCAAGUUCU